rnacentral:rRNA from 1 species
AACAUGUCUUUUUGAAAAUAAUUUAAAGUCAGAUYUGCUCCAYGAAUAAAAUUAAAUAGCUGCAGAUUUAACUGUACAAAGGUAGCAUAAUCAAUAGUUUUUUAAUUAAAAGCUUGUAUGAAUGAUUUGAUAAGGUAAAUAUUGUCUCAAUUUUAAUAAAUUUAAAAUUUUUUUUUUAGUUAAAAAACUUAAAUUGAAUUUAAAAGACGAGAAGACCCUAUAGAAUUUUAUAAUUUAUACUAAAAAUAUUUUAAUAUAAAAAAAAAUAAAUUUUAGUAGAAAAUUAUUUGGUUGGGGAAAUUAUUGAAUCUAUUAAAUUUCAAUUUAUUUAAGACUAUAAUAUUUGAAAAAUUGAUAUAAAUUAUAUUUUAUAAUUUAAUUUUUAGAAUAAAUUACCUUAGGGAUAACAGCGUAAUUUUUUUGGAGAGAUCAUAUUGAUGAAAAAGUUUGCGACCUCGAUGUUGAAUUAAGAUAAAAUUUUAAUGCAGGAGUUAAAAAUUUUUGGUCUGUUCGACCAUUAAAAUCUUACGUGAUCUGAGUUCA